UAUUUAAGGCAGCAGAAAGAAACUAAAAAUAGUUCAUGAAUGAAUGGCUGCACUACUUCCACUGUGAAACUGUAAUACAACCUUCAAUUAUAUUACUACCACAUAUAAUUAGCCAUAACAACAGCACAAAAACAAAAGCUGCACAUGAAGCAAAUCACUCUAACACAAGGCCUGCUCCAAGUUAUGAUUUGCAGUGAAGAAACCGCCAAUAAUUAUGAAGCACUUGGAUGUAUGCACAUGCUCUGAAACGUAUGCAGAAGGACUGCUCAUGUUCAGAGCUGGGUCAUCAAUGCUUAAGGUAAAGCAUGGAAAAACGUUUUGCAUUCUCCUGAAAAACUCGGGGUAACUUCAAAUGGUGAAGAAAUAAAUGGAUAAUGAAAACAGCUUUGGGUCAAAGUUUCCGCUAUGACUACGGACUAAUCUGGAAUGGCCUUCUGUUUCAGGAGCUGCAGCUUGAAAAGCAAGCAACCCCAGCAGUCCAGCUCAGAAAGCCAAUUUAUUUCAUGGUAACUGAGAAGGUGAAGAAGAAAUCCUUCAUGUUUCUUCCUGUUUGCCAUAAAUUCCUGCUGCUGAUGACUGCUGAAGUCAGGAUUUGAGACACCAUGAUUUAUUUUGACCCAGUCCUGUCCAGGACCAGGAAAUAGAGCUGUCAGUAACUUCUUGCUUUGGAUAAUAU